GCACAGCCCCAGCCACAGAUGAGAAGGGCAGCUGCAUUCGUAGUUGCUAGCUAGGCUCUCAGCUGAUGAUGCACUGAAGCACGAAUAAGGUAUUGUUGAUCGAUGUGUCCGGCGGCGACGGGGACGACGCUGUUCGCGGUGGGGGUGAUGCUGUGCCCGUUCCCGGCGCUGGUGCCGUCGUGCCGGAACCUCACCGCCGUGCUGCCGGAGCUCUGGGGCCUCCUCGCCGCCGUCUACCUCCACAUCCGCGGCGAGCUCUCGCAGCUGCUAGCGCCUGAUGCUGCCGCUGCUCGCCGCCGUUCGCCGCGGUACGGCGCAGCUAGCUGAUUUAAUGAUAUCUCGAUCCAUGUGUUGUUCGUUUGUUACUAUUCGAUGUGUGCAGCAUGAUGCUUCUUGUGAAGAAAUAGUUAAAUGUUGAGAUUAAUUAUUGCUAAUAUUCAA